rnacentral:lncRNA from 1 species
GAUUGUGUUGUGGUGUGGGUUGGUAGAAAGCUGGUUGCGUUCGAUAUGUAUAAAGCUGUCAGUUGUGGUUGGAGAAGACUUUUUAAGAAUAAAAGCAGCAUUUUGCAAAGUACUCUUUCUCAAAGACUCUUUGUGCCAGGACCGGGCAAAGGAGGUAAGAACGUUUUCUUUUUCAAACCUGGACAAUGAUGUCCAAGGACAAAAGAGCUUCUGAACUGACAAUCCUUGCACAGUUCCGUUGAUCUGUACUUCUUUCUUCCCAAGUAACAAAACCUGUGGGUAUAGGUCCAGAUCUUGCAUUAUUUUAGUGGUGCACAUCACCACAAAGUAUAUGAAAAUAUGGUGCCUCUAUUUAUAAACCGUAAGCUAGAACUCUACAAUUCUUGUGGGAUUGAUUUCUUCCUCCAGAUUGCUUACUGUGUAUUAGCUGAAGUGAGAAGCCCAGAGUUGCAGCCCCAGACAUUCUACCGAACGGUGCCCAAUGAGAAAUAUCAAUAUGAAGGGAUUGUCAUGCUACUUCUACAUUUCCAGUGGACAUGGGUAGGAAUUGUGGCAUCCGAUGAUGAAAAUGGAGAGAGCUUUAUGCAAACCUUAGUGCCAAUGCUUUCCCGGCAUGGAGUCUGUACAGCUUUCAAUGAAAAACUACCAGCCAUAUCUCAGGGUCUAGAUCAUUUCAGGUUCUUUGAACUCAUUCCAGCCAAGUCCACUUUCCUGGUAGCCUCAGAAAUUAACAUAUUAGUUCUGUUUGCAGAACCUCAGACCAUUGCAGUUGUGAAAUGGAUGCAAUAUUUCUUUUCAUUAGCUGAAGACAUUGCAGAGAAGUCUACAGGCACCGUGUGGAUUUUGACAGCCCAAUGGGCUUUCUCUUCAGAAACAAUGCAAAGGUAUUACGAUAUACAAGUCUUUGAUGGUGCCUUGUCUUUUGCAAUUCACACAGAGAAAGUCCAGGGAUUUAAAGAAUUCCUUCAGACCCUGAACCCCAACUCUCCAAAUGGAGAUGGGUUCCUCCAGGCUUUUUGGCAACAGGCAUUCAACUGUUUAUUUUCUGCUUCCAAUGGGCACAAGGAAAAUACAAAGACCUGCACUGGCCAUGAGAGUCUGGAGAGCCUUCCUGGGCAUAUUUUUGAAAUGACCAUGACUGGCCAAAGUUACAGUAUCUAUAAUGCGGUUUAUGCCAUUGCACAUACUUUACAUCAGAUGCACUCAUCCAGGUCGAAACGCAGAAUGAUGGCAGGCAGAGGUGGGCUCGAUCCUCCAAAACUGCAACCUUGGCAGGUGAGAUUUCCUGUUCAGAAUAAACCUUUGCAAAGUUGAUCAAGAAAAAGGAGAAUUGUGAAAAAUUAAGAAUUUGUUUGAAAAUACUAAGGUUUGUUUCUACCCAUGACUGCCCACCCAUUCUGUCCACCAACACCAACUUUUUUCUAGAACCUGCAUUUGUUUCUGCACUAAAGAGGCACAUAUAGGGCUAUUUUCAAAUGUGGUUGCCUGGUCUGCUUUUUAACUCCCUUCCAGUGAUGUUCAUUGAUUAUAGUGGACCUGCAAGUUAUGUUCAUUUUACGUUGGUUGGGAGAAGUAAAUAAACAAAUGGAGAUCAGGGAAAACCCACCAUGAGCUUCUCUCCAUUUCUUUGCCCCCUUCUCCCUGCACUCCCACCUUGCAGUUCCAGGGCUUCCUGACAUGGCACCAUUUUGCCUUUGCACACGGACGCCAGAGCUGAACCCUCACGCAAGUGGCAGGCCAGCUGUACUUGCUAGAAAUACCUAGGUGCUCCAAAUGUUGUAGACGGCACAGUUUUUGACUACUUUCCAAUGUGUGAAAAAUAUUGAUGGAUACUUCUUGUUUCUAAAAUCCAUUAAAGCUCUCCUUUUUUAAACUUUCCCUUUGUUUUCUUCUGCCUAGCUGCACUCGUUCUUGAGGAGUAUCUCCUUCAACAACAGUGCUGGUGACUUAGUGUCCUUUGAUGAGAAGGGGGAAUUAGCAGGUGGAUUUGAUAUUAUUAACUGGGUUACUUUUCCAAACCAAACCUUCUCCCGAGUGAAAGUAGGAAAGAUAGUUCCACAAGAUUCACAAAAUAUAGACUUCAGCAUGGAUGAGGGAGCCAUCACAUGGCACAGAGCUUUUAAUCAGGUGGGACCAUUGGAUUUUUAAAAAUGCGGUAUUGUAGGAGUAAAUUUUACUGACCCAAGUGAGAUUUACAUCUCAGAAGACAAGGGGAGGCUAAGUUACCCAUUUGCUUGGAAAGAUUUAUUGUCUUGCGGUGCUUCUCUGAGCCUAAUAAUGUAUGUGCUUCCUAUUCUACCUUCUUUGACAACUCCCUAUAUUUCAAAGUCUGUUGUCUUCCCUGUCUUCUCUCCAUCCUCCAUCUUUAUGCAGAUUAAAAAUUCAAUAUCCCUUCUCAUUCACUUCCAAUAUUAUUGGGAAUAAUAUUUAUAGAAACAACAGACUCUUCUGGAAUAAUGUUAAUCAGCCAACUGAUGUCAUUUUGGUUAAAACUGUGUUGUUCACAAGGCACAAGAGAGCUACAUUUUCUCCUCUUUUUAUGGCUAGGUGCUGCCCCUUGCCUUGUGUAAUGGUCGCUGCCAGCCAGGCUACAGCAGAAAAAAGAAGGAGGGAUUGCCAUUUUGUUGCUAUGAUUGUGCUUCGUGUCCAUAUGGGAUGAUUUCAAAUCAGACAGGUAAGAAACAUCAUCUGCUACUAUAAAAAAAUUAUUCCUAAUAUCUCUUUCAGUUUUUUCCAGUGAAUCUCGUAUUACUAUUUUGCAUUGUACAACUAACAAUUGUGACCAACUCUAGCUAAGGGUACAAUCAAAGCCAAUGUAUCUGAUCACUAACUCCGGAUGAAGGAGAGAGUAGAUGAAAAAUCCACGCACCUUAGGCCCAUCAAAAUUUAGAGCCUAUUGCACAUUAGGUAUAGUGGCUGGAAAUUUUACAAACAGUUGUUAAUAUCCACUUACCAAAUUAAUUAAUUAAUUAAUUAAUUACCAAAUAAUUAAUGCAACAUUUCUUGGAACUCAUAUAUCACUCAUUGUUUCAGAUGUGGAUUAUUGUUUCCAAUGCCAAGAUGACCAAUUUCCAAACAAGGACAGAGAUCAGUGCAUCCCCAAACGCCAACAUUUUCUUUCCUACGCAGAACCUUUAGGGUUCGUUUUAGCUUCCUUAGCUCUGGUCUUUUCUCUGCUCACAGCUUUGAUACUUGGCGUCUUCUCUAGGAAUGGGGACACUCCCAUUGUCAAAGCCAACAACCGGGACCUCACCUACACUCUGCUUACUUCCCUCUUGCUCUGCUUCCUCUGCUCCUUGCUGUUCAUUGGCCAGCCUCACCCAGUGAGCUGCUCUUUACGACAAGCUGCUUUUGGCAUCAUCUUCUCCAUUGCUGUGUCUUGUGUCUUGGCCAAAACCAUCACGGUGGUUCUGGCUUUCAUGGCUACCAAACCAGGAUCCAGGAUGAGGAAAUGGGUGGGGAAAUCUCUCACAAACUCGGUUCUUCUUGCUUGCUGCUCAGUUCAAAGCAGCAUUUGUGCUGCUUGGCUCUGUACGGCUCCUCCAUUCCCAGAUGUGGACAUGAGUUCUCUGAUGGAGGAAAUCAUUGUGGAAUGCAACGAAGGUUCUGUCGCGAUGUUUUAUUCUGUCCUGGGUUAUCUGGGAUUCCUGGCCAUGGUCAGCUUCACUAUGGCUUUCCUGGCCAAGAGGUUGCCGGACAGUUUCAACGAAGCCAAGUUCAUCACCUUCAGCAUGUUGGUGUUCUGCAGCGUUUGGCUGUCCUUUGUUCCCUCUUAUCUGAGCACCAAAGGAAAGCAGAUGGUGGCUGUGGAGGUCUUUUGCAUCUUGGCCUCCAGCGCAGGUUUGCUGGGUUGUAUCUUUCCCCCCAAAUUGUACAUCAUUCUUCUGAGGCCCGACUUGAACAGCAAAGACCACUUAAUUCUGAGGAGCAAAUAGGAAUCACCUUGUGUUGAUGUUUUUAAUUAGUGCAUUGUUUGCUGGCAUUAAUUGAAUGAAAAGCAGAAAAAGUUAUUCCUUGUAUUUCUGAACACUCAUCCUUUUCAUCUUUUUCAUUCCCAGAAAAAGCCUCCAACCUACAUCUGUAAUCAAUAAAGCUGAGACCAAUUUUUUAACCCC